UACAGAGGUCUCAAGCGUUGUUCGGAUUCAUUGGGCGUAAAGAGUGUGUAGGCGGCGCUCUAAGUUCGGUGUGAAAUCUCUCGGCUUAACUGGGAGGGUGCGCCGGAAACUGGAGCGCUCGAACGUGGGAGAGGAAAGCGGAAUUCCUGGUGUAGCGGUGAAAUGCGUAGAUAUCAGGAGGAACACCUGCGGUGUAGACGGCUUUCUGGACCAUUGUUGACGCUGAGACACGAAAGCGUGGGUAGCAAACAGG
rnacentral:rRNA from 1 species